UGGUUCUGGCAUCGAUGAAGAACGCAGCGAAAUGCGAUAAGUAAUGUGAAUUGCAGAAUUCAGUGAAUCAUCGAAUCUUUGAACGCACAUUGCGCCCGCCAGCAUUCUGGCGGGCAUGCCUGUUCGAGCGUCAUUUCAACCCCUCAGGCCCCCGCGCCUGGCGUCGGGGCACCCCCGCGAGGGGGGCCCCCAGAGACAUCGGCGGACCCGCCGCGGCUCCGAGCGCAGUAAUACUUGCUAUCGCUCCUGGAGGCCCGCGGCGCGGACCCGGCCGCUAAGCCGGGCUUCGGCCCACACACCCCAGGUUGACCUCGGAUCAGGUAGGAAUACCCGCUGA
rnacentral:misc_RNA from 1 species